rnacentral:rRNA from 1 species
GAUGAACGCUGGCGGCGUGCCUAAUACAUGCAAGUCGAGCGAACAGAUAAGGAGCUUGCUCCUUUGACGUUAGCGGCGGACGGGUGAGUAACACGUGGGUAACCUACCCAUAAGACUGGGAUAACUUCGGGAAACCGGAGCUAAUACCGGAUAAUAUUUCGAACCGCAUGGUUCGAUAGUGAAAGAUGGUUUUGCUAUCACUUAUAGAUGGACCCGCGCCGUAUUAGCUAGUUGGUAAGGUAACGGCUUACCAAGGCGACGAUACGUAGCCGACCUGAGAGGGUGAUCGGCCACACUGGAACUGAGACACGGUCCAGACUCCUACGGGAGGCAGCAGUAGGGAAUCUUCCGCAAAGGGCGAAAGCCUGACGGAGCAACGCCGCGUGAGUGAUGAAGGUCUUCGGAUCGUAAAACUCUGUUAUUAGGGAAGAACAUACGUGUAAGUAACUGUGCACGUCUUGACGGUACCUAAUCAGAAAGCCACGGCUAACUACGUG